UAGUCUGCAUAGAAACACAAAGAUAUGGAAUACUUCGGCACAAUAACUCAAGUUUUCAUUAUUAAGUUAAUUGUGCUGAAAACAUCACUGACAAGAAAAUGAAAAUAUUGUCAGUUCUUGAUUUCUAAGAAUAAUACCAAAGUCAACGUCCUUACAUUACUCAAAAUCACGAUGAAUCUAAGAACAUAAAAAACAUACGCAUUAAAAAAUGGGAGAACAAUGUUUUUUCCCGGUGUGCAUUUUAAGUAUUGGAUGUUUGGCAACACAUCAGAGAAGCACAUUUUGUAAACAAAUUGACAAAGUUUCGUUGUAUGAUGCCGACCGGCAUAAACUUAAUUUAUGUACAAACUUUUUAAAUAAAUUCUUUAUUUAUUGUGAAGAAACUGUAGCUGCUCUGAUUCCACUAAAACUGAAAUGGCUUCUGUUUCUGCGCGUCUUUCAAUUAUUGGAGAAACAUCAUCCUGUGAACCUGAUCAAGAUGCUAAUUCUGCUCUUACAGAACUUGACAAAGGUCUGAAAAAUGAGGUGCAUCUUAUACGUCUAUACUCAGUUUUUGAUUACAUUCAUUUAUGGAAAUUAGCUGUAUUCAGAGUUACGGAAUUUUUUUCAUUUCCUUGUGAGGGGGUGGGAAUAUUACAGUUACGUAGAUUUCAGUGAAUGCACAUGCACUGUUAUCGAUGAUCACACUGGGUUUGUUUAAACUUUCCAAUUUUUGUGAAUGGCUUUUAAAAGUGUAGAAUUUCUACUGUUCAAUUUUCUUAAAAAUGUUGGCAAGUUAUGGCUCAAAAACAAUGUAGGCAUUGUUAUAAAAUAACAUACAAGCUACGUGUGAUUGUGUAUGCAAAAGGACAUGGAAACAAGGCUGCAGAGCGGCAUUUCGGCGUACCCCCAACUUGGAAAAUGAUAAGAAUCAGGAAGAGGAUCUGAAAAACUCAUAGAUUUGCAGAAAGUGUUAAUUUAUAUUACUUUAUAUUUAAAAUAUUGUAAAUUUACUAUAAUAAUUAGCAAUAAGGUUUUAUUCUUCAAAAAUGUAUAUAAAAAUGGGAGUGCAUCUUAUACGUCGGCAGAUAUGGUAUUUUGCAUAUUUUGAAGGAAUAUAAUAAUAUUUUUCCCGAAUCUGAAUUGACCAGUGAUUGCAAUUCAGAUAUUCAGGAAUGCUGUACAAAGUCCAAGAUUCAGAAUUGUCAGGAUUUCGACAAUUCGGAAUUUCAGAAAUUCCUAGAUUUUAGAUCUUCAUUUCAAAUUUAGUAGGAUGAUAUGGAGAGAUUAUAAUAUUAAAUGUAUAAAAUAGUUGUUUGUGAAAUAAUAAAAUAUUUUCAUAAUAUUGAGUGAAAUAAAAUUUACAAAUAAAAACA